GACUCUCGGCAACGAAUAUCUCGGCUCUCACAUCGAUGAAGAACGUAGCGAAAUGCGAUACUUGGUGUGAAUUGCAGAAUCCUGUGAACCAUCAAGUCUUUGAACAAAGGUUGCACCCGAAGCCAUUAGGCCGAGGGCACGCCUGCCUGGGCGUCA
rnacentral:rRNA from 1 species